rnacentral:rRNA from 1 species
GGGUUGUGAGGUUAAGCAAACUAAACGUACACGGUGGUCUACACAGCAGUCAGAGCGAUGAAAGGACGUGCUAAUCUGCGAUAAAGCGUCCAGUACAAAAUUGAUGAACCGUUAUAACCGGCGAUUUCCAGACCGGGAAACCCGGUGUUUCGACACACUAUGUCAUUAACUGAAUCCGCCAGGUUGGCUAAGUGGGCGAACCGGGAACUAGAAACAUCUAAGUGCCGAGAAGAAAUCAGCGAGAUUCCCCGGUAGCGGCGAACGGGAGGCAAACCUGAAUGUUGUUGGUGGAAGCGUCAGGAAGGCGCGAUACAGGAGUGACGGCCAGUACACAAAAUGCGUACUGUGAGCUCGAUGGUAGGGCGGACGUGGUAUCCUGUCUGAAUAUGGGGGCCAUCCUCAGGCUAAAUACUCACAGGCGAUGACGGUGAACCGGUACCGUGAGGAAAAGGGCGAAAGGAACCCCGGCAGGGGUGAAAAGAACCUGAAACCGUGUACGUACAAACAGUGGGGAGCACGCUACCGGCGUGCGUGACUGCAUACUGCUGGCAUAAUGGGUCGGCGACAUAUUCUCUAGCAGCAAAGGUUAACCGAAUGGGGGAGCCGGAAACCGAGUCUUAACUGGGCGUUGAAGUUGCGGGCUGACGAAACCCGGUGAUCAACAUGGGCAGGUUGUGAGGUUGGGUAAUAACUGGAGGAUAAAACCGACUAAUGUUGAAAGGUAUCGGAUGAACAGACAUCGGGGAUGUGCGGCGGGAACGUCGUCAGUUAUGGUUCUUUGAAGCGUAUAUUUUAAAGAAAGCCAACGACUCACUGGUCGAGUCAUUGCUGGAGAUGUGACGAGGCUAAACCACAGAAGCUGCAGCAGCGACACUAUGUGUUUGUUGGGUAGAACGUUCUGUAAGCCUGUGAAAGGUAUGCUGUGAGGCAUGCUGGAGGUAUCAGAAGUGCGAAGAUACUGGCAGCAGUAACGACAAAGCGGGUGAAAAGCCGCUCGCCAGAAUAAGGUUCCUGUCCAGCGUUAAUCAGGGCGGAAUUGAGUCCCCGACCUAAGGCGAGCCGAAGGGCGCUCUAGUCGAUGGAAACAGGUUAAUAUUCCUGUAUACCCAUGGUGUGCCGAAGGGACGGAGAAGGCUAUGUUGGCGGGCGGUUUGUCCAGUUGCCAGCGGCAGCGGCUGAGUUUCCAGGGGCGAAUCCGGAAAAUCAAAGGCUGAGGCGUGAUGACGAAGCGUUGCUGAAGUAACAAAUACUCUUCAGGGGAAAACUCUAAAGCAUCAGGUAACAUCAAAUCGUAUUUUACUUUUAAACCGACACGGUGGUCGGGUGAGCCGAGCGCUUGGCGAGGAGAGGCGGGCGGAAGACUGGUAGCCGAAUGGUAUGGCACCGGGAGAAACGCUGCGAUAUGUGAUUGAUCCCUCGCGGAUGUGAAUGGAAAAUCGUCCGAAGAUGCAACUGCAACUGUUUUACGUAGAAACACAGCACUUCGCGAAGUGGACGUAUACGGUGGCGAAGCGCCUACCGUUGCCGGAAGGUUAUUGAUGAGUUGCGCGCGCAAACGAAGCGCUCGCAAUCAAACUGGUAGAAGCGGCGCUGGCACAGCUAUAACGUUCCCUAUGAGUAGCGAAAUUCUUGUCGAGGUGAUUCCGACCUGCACGAAUGGCGUAAUGAUGGCGGGCACAAUACCACUUACGAGACUCCGAGGUGAGGCGGAGCUGCUUUGCGGGAGUACGGUACCCGCAGCGGCAAGGAAAGACUGGCGGAGCCGCUUUACUGCUGAAAGCACGACGCUGAACAUUGUGGACGCCCGGUGUGUGGGAUAGGUGGGAGGCAUGAAGUGUGGACGCUGAUCUGCAUGGAGUACGACCUUGAAAUACCACCUUUUAAUGUUUGAUGUUAGCGUUGACCCACAGCAAUCCCGGGUUUUGCGGACGUGUCUGGUGGGUAUUGGUUUGACUGGAGGGCGGUCUCUCCUAAAGAGUAACGGAGGCACCACGGACUAAUCACGAGUCGGACAUCGGGAGGAGUUAGUGCAAUAGCACCGGCGACUUGACUUGAAGAGCGUGACGGCGCGGAAGCGGGUGCGCUUUCAGGUCAUGGUGAUCCGGUGGUUUCUACUGAAUGGAAGGAACCUAUCCAACGGAUAAAAAUUGCUCAGGGAUAACAGGCAUUUCGCUAGAAGUUCAUAUCGACGGCGGUGUUUUGGCACCUCGAUGUCAGCUCGCUCAUCACAUACUGGGGCUGAAGUGAUUAAGGGUAUGGCUACCUUCGCCAUUUAAAGUGUUUUGCGACGGCUGGGUUUGACGUCAUUGAACCAGUUGGCCGGUCCCCUAUCACCGAUAUGGGCGCUGGAGAACUGAGAGGGCUACUCACGGUACAGGGACCGGAGUGGACAUCACUGGUGUUCGGGUUGUCUGUUACUGUGCUUUUAUUAAUACCGGAAGAGAUAAGUGCUGAAAGCAUCUAAGCACGAAACUUGCCCCGAGAUGAGUUCUCCCUGACUCCUUGAGAGUCCUGAAGGAACGUUGAAGACGACGACGUUGAUAGGCCGGGUGUGUAAGCGCAGCGAUGCGUUGAGCUAACCGGUACUAAUGAACCGUGAGGCUUAACCUUACAACGCCGAAGCUGUU